rnacentral:rRNA from 1 species
AACGAACGCUGGCGGCGCGCCUAAUACAUGCAAGUCGAGCGAGAAGACGUAGCAAUACGUUUGUAAAGCGGCGAACGGGUGAGGAAUACAUGGGUAACCUACCCUCGAGUGGGGAAUAACUAGCCGAAAGGUUAGCUAAUACCGCGUACGCUCCUUGGACUUCGGUUCAGGGAGGAAAGCGAUACCGUGGGUAUCGCGCUCUUGGAUGGGCUCAUGUCCUAUCAGCUUGUUGGUGAGGAACGGCUCACCAAGGCUUCGACGGGUAGCUGGUCUGAGAGGACGAUCAGCCACACUGGCACUGCGACACGGGCCAGACUCCUACGGGAGGCAGCAGUGGGGAAUUUUGGACAAUGGGCGCAAGCCUGAUCCAGCCAUGCCGCGUGCGGGAAGAA